rnacentral:rRNA from 1 species
AACGAACGCUGGCGGCAGGCUUAACACAUGCAAGUCGAGCGCCCCGCAAGGGGAGCGGCAGACGGGUGAGUAACGCGUGGGAAUCUACCCAUCUCUACGGAAUAACGUAUGGAAACGUGUGCUAAUACCGUAUACGUCCUUCGGGAGAAAGAUUUAUCGGAGAUGGAUGAGCCCGCGUUGGAUCAGCUAGUUGGUGGGGUAAAGGCCUACCAAGGCGAAGAUCCAUAGCUGGUCUGAGAGGAUGAUCAGCCACACUGGGACUGAGACACGGCCCAGACUCCUACGGGAGGCAGCAGAGGGGAAUAUUGGACAAUGGGCGCAAGCCUGAUCCAGCCAUGCCGCGUGAGUGAUGAAGGCCCUGGGUUGUAAAGCUCUUUCACCGGUGAAGAUAAUGACGGUAACCGGAGAAGAAGCCCCGGCUAACUUCGUGCCAGCAGCCGCCGUAAAAC